rnacentral:rRNA from 1 species
AUGAAACAGCCGCCUGGUUUCUCUGAUCCUGAUCGUCCUGACUAUAUCUGUCGUCUUUCCAAAGCAUUAUAUGGUUUGAAGCAAGCUCCUCGUGCCUGGCAUGCCCGCCUUGCCUCUGCCCUUCGUGCUCAUGGUAUGCUGCUGAUGCUCUUGUCUGCUCUCUUGGUGCUGAUUUUGCGGUCAAAGAUCUUGGGAAGCUUCACUACUUUCUUGGAGUUGAGGUCACUUCUCGUGCUACUGGUCUUGUCCUUACGCAGAAGAAGUACUCCUUGGAGUUGUUACAAAGAGCCGGCAUGCUGA